CAUUAAUGGAUUUACAGAGGGUUGAUGCUGGUAGUUUAUCUGCAUGUGCUCGCUCUUCUGAUUUAUUUACACCUGUGCACUUCAUUUUUUCAAAGGUCAGGGUAGAACCUGCCUUUGGAACUUAUAAACCCCCCUAUAUUGGAAUAAUGAAUGUUUAUCUGCCACAGGCAAAUUUUAAUACAACUUUUAACAACGGAUCUCUUGGCUCUCGCAUCGAUGAAGAACGCAGCGAAAUGCGAUAAGUAAUGUGAAUUGCAGAAUUCAGUGAAUCAUCGAAUCUUUGAACGCACCUUGCGCUCUCUGGUAUUCCGGGGAGCACACCUGUUCGAGUGUCAUUAAAACUCUCAAAUAAAGAUGGCUUUUUCAGCCAUCUCUGUUUGGAUUUGGGCUUUGCUGCAUUAGUGUGGCUAGUCUUAAAUGUAUUAGCUGAUCCUCAUUGAGGUUUUUUGGUUCUACUCAGCGUGAUAAUUAUCUAACGUUGAGGACAGUCUUUAGAACUGGCCAUAGCUCUCUCUGGAUUGCUUCUAAAUUGUCUCGAGGACAAUUGCUUAAUUUCUGACCUCGAAUCAGGUGGGACUACCCGCUGAACUUAAGCAUAUCA
rnacentral:rRNA from 1 species